AAAGUAUCAAAGGAAUAAAACGUUAAUACUUGGAAAUGUUGGGGUACUUUAAAAAGUAUUUAUCCCAAUUACUACUUUCAGAAAACAUGUUCGCUAAGGAUUCAGCAUUUCCUGUUCCUUCAGCUGAUUGGUCUUCUAUAACAGCAGAGGACAAACACAAAUGAGCAACUUAAAGAAAAAAACAGAGUUAAUGGAUACUAGAAUUAAGUGAAAGCAGG
rnacentral:lncRNA from 1 species